rnacentral:rRNA from 1 species
AACGUUACCAAACNGUUGCCUCGGCGGGAUCUUCUGCCCCGGGUGCGUCGCAGCCCCGGACCAAGGCGCCCGCCGGAGGAAUCAACCAAAACUCUUAUUGUAUACCCCCUCGCGGGUUUUUUUUAUAAUCUGAGCCUUCUCGGCGCCUCUCGUAGGCGUUUCGAAAAUGAAUCAAAACUUUCGACAACGGAUCUCUUGGUUCUGGCAUCGAUGAAGAACGCAGCGAAAUGCGAUAAGUAAUGUGAAUUGCAGAAUUCAGUGAAUCAUCGAAUCUUUGAACGCACAUUGCGCCCGCCAGUAUUCUGGCGGGCAUGCCUGUCCGAGCGUCAUUUCAACCCUCGAAUCCCUCCGGGGGGUCGGCGUUGGGGAUCGGCCUUCCUUCACGGGGGCCGUCUCCGAAAUACAGUGGCGGUCUCGCCGCAGCCUCUCCUGCGCAGUAGUUUGCACACUCGCAUCGGGAGCGCGGCGCGUCCACAGCCGUUAAACACCCAACUUUCUGAAAUGUUGACCUCGGAUCAGGUAGGAAUACCCGCUGAACUUA